rnacentral:tRNA from 1 species
UAUACUUUAGUAUAGGAUGUACAUGGACUUUUGAUGUCUUUAGAGCUAGUUUGAUCUAGUAAGUGUAA